rnacentral:lncRNA from 1 species
UGGUGAACUGUCAGCUGGACUCAGGAAACAAGGCCGACCAAAGAAAAGCUUCAAGGAUCAGCUCAAGUCCAACUUGAAGUGGGCUGGCAUGACACCAAAGCAACUAGAACUCACUGCCUCUGACAGAAGCAGCUGGCGAACCCACAUUCAGCAUGCCGCCACCACCUUUGAAGAUGAGCGACGUCGAUGUCUUGCUGCUGCGCGUGAACGCCGACACCAGGCCACAACCGCACCUCCCGUAACAACUGGCGUCCCAGGCCCCAUGUGCCACAGGCUCUGCGGCUCAGCCUUUGGACUCCAAAGCCACAUGAGGCAAGAAGAGGGGCUGCAGGAGAAUCAGAGAUAUAGCAGAAACGAAGAUUUAAGAUUGAGAAGAAUAAAAGAGGAGUCUCAAAACAAUGAAGAGCAAUCCCAAGGGAGAAGAGGACUACCUACGAAAUGCUGAGGCUCUGGAAGCUCUGGGUAACAUACAUGAAGAAAAACCUUCAAAAGCCUCUGUGAUCGCUGAGGUGAGACUGCAAAAAUAAAAGAAAGGUUGAAUUUAUCUUCUUUUACA